rnacentral:misc_RNA from 1 species
UGAUUAACCAGCUACUGUGUUUCCUCCAUAAGAUUCAUCUUUCAUUACAUUCAAAGCUCACCUUCCCUCCAAACACUGCUGUACAUAAAUUGGUCGGUAUUACGAUGGUAAAAUUCUUACAUUAUCAAGGCUAUAAUGACUACGGAAAGAAGGAUGGAUGGUUUGGAUUGAAGUUAGCGAGUAUUUGAGGGUUGGUGGGGAGGAAG